rnacentral:lncRNA from 1 species
GACAGCAGCCACACCUCUGCAGAGAGAAUGGUGAGUGCCUGCUGGGGAAGAAAGGCUAGCGGUCUCCCAGGUGCUGGCCUUUGGGCUGGGGGAGCAGAGUUUUCUGUGCUUGUGUUGGGUUGAGGGUGGUCCCCAGGGAGAGGAAGAGGAUCCUGGCCCUGGCUCUCCUGGGAAUGCUCUGGGACUGUGCAUGAUGGGUGGGGUGGGGAGACUCUGAGGAGUUGGGGAGAGGACCCCUCCCUACUCACAGUGUUGCAGGCCAGCAGGAAGGCGGGGACCCGGGGCAAGGUGGCAGCCACCAAGCAGGCCCAACGUGGUUCUUCCAACGUCUUUUCCAUGUUUGAACAAGCCCAGAUACAGGAGUUCAAAGAAGCCUUCAGCUGUAUCGACCAGAAUCGUGAUGGCAUCAUCUGCAAGGCAGACCUGAGGGAGACCUACUCCCAGCUGGGUGCGUGCACCCACCUCCCACCCUGCGCACUGGGGUCCCUACUCUGAGCUGCUGGGCGGGUGGGAGUGGCUGGGGGGACAGGACUCUGCUCCCCUGCUU